rnacentral:rRNA from 1 species
UACGUAGGGUGCGAGCGUUGUCCGGAAUUAUUGGGCGUAAAGCGCACGUAGGCGGUUUGUUAAGUCGGAUGUGAAAACUUGGGGCUCAACCCCAAGCUUGCGGUCGAUACGGGCAGGCUAGAGUUCGGUAGGGGAGACUGGAAUUCCUGGUGUAGCGGUGAAAUGCGCAGAUAUCAGGAGGAACACCGGUGGCGAAGGCGGGUCUCUGGGCCGAUACUGACGCUGAGGAGCGAAAGCGUGGGGAGCGAACAGG